rnacentral:rRNA from 1 species
UACGUAGGGUCCGAGCGUUGUCCGGAAUUAUUGGGCGUAAAGGGCUCGUAGGCGGUUUGUCGCGUCGGGGAGUGAAAACACGGGGCUUAACCCCGUGCCUGCUUCCGAUACGGGCAGACUAGAGGUAUGCAGGGGAGAACGGAAUUCCUGGUGUAGCGGUGAAAUGCGCAGAUAUCAGGAGGAACACCGGUGGCGAAGGCGGUUCUCUGGGCAUUACCUGACGCUGAGGAGCGAAAGUGUGGGGAGCGAACAGG